rnacentral:rRNA from 1 species
ACGGGAGGCAGCAGUGGGGAAUAUUGCACAAUGGGGGAAACCCUGAUGCAGCAACGCCGCGUGCGGGAAGACGGUCUUCGGAUUGUAAACCGCUUUUCUUAGUGAAGAAUUUUGACGGUAGCUAAGGAAUAAGCAUCGGCUAACUACGUGCCAGCAGCCGCGGUAAUACGUAGGAUGCAAGCGUUGUCCGGAUUUACUGGGUGUAAAGGGAGCGCAGGCGGGACUGCAAGUUGGAUGUGAAAUGUCGAGGCUUAACCUCGGAACUGCAUCCAAAACUGUAGUUCUUGAGUGGAGUAGAGGCAAGCGGAAUUCCGAGUGUAGCGGUGAAAUGCGUAGAUAUUCGGAGGAACACCAGUGGCGAAGGCGGCUUGCUGGGCUCUAACUGACGCUGAGGCUCGAAAGUGUGGGGAGCAAACAGGAUUAGAUACCCUGGUA